GGGGUCGUGGCACAGUGGUUAGCGCGCUUGCUUUGCAUGCAAGAGGUCGAGGGUUCAAAUCCCUCCGUCUCCA